GAUGAAGAACGCAGCGAAAUGCGAUAAGUAAUGCGAAUUGCAGAAUUUCCGUGAGUCAUCGAAUCUUUGAACGCACAUUGCGCCCCUCGGUAUUCCGUGGGGCAUGCCUGUUCGAGCGUCAUUUACCCCUCAAGCACUGCUUGGUGUUGGGCGUCUGUCCCGCUUCGCGCGCGGACUCGCCCCAAAGGUAUUGGCAGCGGUCGUGCCAGCUUCUCGCGCAGCACAUUGCGCUUCUCGAGGCGGUCGAUCGGCGUCCACGAAGCUCACCUCCACCGUUUGACCUCGGAUCAGGUAGGGAUACCCGCUGAACUUAAGCAUAUCAAUAAGCGGAGGA
rnacentral:misc_RNA from 1 species